rnacentral:rRNA from 1 species
ACAAGCGGUGGAGCAUGUGGUUAAUUCGAAGCAACGCGAAGAACCUUACCAGGCCUUGACAUGCAGAGAACUUUCCAGAGAUGGAUUGGUGCCUUCGGGAACUCUGACACAGGUGCUGCAUGGCUGUCGUCAGCUCGUGUCGUGAGAUGUUGGGUUAAGUCCGUAACGAGCGCAACCCUUGUCCUUAGUUACCAGCACGUUAUGGUGGGCACUCUAAGGAGACUGCCGGUGACAAACCGGAGGAAGGUGGGGAGUGACGUCAAGUCAUCAUGGCCCUUACGGCCUGGGCUACACACGUGCUACAAUGGUCGGUACAAAGGGUUGCCAAGCCGCGAGGUGGAGCUAAUCCCAUAAAACCGAAUCGUAGUCCGGAUCGCAGUCUGCAACUCGACUGCGUGAAGUCGGAAUCGCUAGUAAUCGUGAAUCAGAAUGUCACGGUGAAUACGUUCCCGGGCCUU